CAUCUCCCGAUCAUGGUUGUUCCCACGUCUGUUCUCGGCGCUACCCGUCUCAGCGCCCUCUCUUCCGGGGUCCCUCUCCAACCUUCUCUCCACGCGACUAUGGUGACGGCGCACAGAGAUCGUCAGAAACGGCGUGUGUGCGGGAAGCAGGAUUAAGGCGGCGACGGCAUGCCAUUCUCGUCGCUGUUGUUCAUGUUCUCGCUGUCGUCGCCUCUCCACCUCUUCCGAUCUCAUUACGUUUUUCUUUUCCUGCUACAGUUCAUGGUGCCCUAACGCUGAGGGGAGCUGUGGAAAGACCGGAAGCUGCCAGGGACAUCGAGGGCAGCCCGCUGGGCGUGCAGUCAAUGGAGCCGCACAAGGCACCAGGGAUCGCUUGGGGUGCGGCCGCAAAGGGGGGUUCUGUCGCCGCCACCAGGGGCCUGUAUCAGGCAAGGAGCUGCGUCGAGUCGAUGUCGAUGCUGCUCUGAGGAGCGAGAACCUGCAUCGCCAUCGCCGGGUGGGUCUGCCUCUCGCCGUUCGAGCGGGAUUGCCGCCAGCGCCGCCCUCGGAUAUCUUCGUCUAAGGAGGAGCAGCCACCACCAUGGAGGAGCCGGCUGCGCCGUUCUAUCUGUUUUACCGAGAAAAGCCGGGGAGCUGCUGGCAUCUUGCACGACGGCGUCGCCUGCGGGUCGACCAAUUUCUUCUCGACGCUCUACAACAUCGACUGCUGGGGCGUGCGACUGCUGCCUAUGCCGCACCGCCGUACCCCCACCCCAGCUGCGUGCUUUGUUGCCUCUCUCAAUGGCCUGAGGGAACAGGCGCGGAGGUGCCGCCCAAGCGUCGGCAUUCCUCUCGCACGCGGCCAUGCUGCUACUGCCUUCGUUUUACAGACCAUGGAACAUGGAACCACAGAUCAGUUCAGCAGCGACUUUGGUCUGAACACGUCCUUGGCCAUCCUGGGUGACGACUCUGAUCUGGGAUGACUGUAUGUCAUCUCUGUUCUGUUCAGUUUCAGGGUAAUUGAGUGGUACUCUCCUUGGACGCACAUAGCGAUUUAUCCUGGGAUUUGUUCUGUUUGCUCAAACUGCCUUUUGCUUUGCGGCAUGGGAUUGGUUAGUUUUCGGUUUGGCAGCUGAUAGGUGAGUGCACUGACAGGGCACAAAUUUCGGGGAUGUGAUUACCUGCAUGGCAAUGGAUGUGACUACGUGCAUGUGAUUAGCUUAAGCGUUUCUUAAUCAUUAUUAAUUUUUUCGAUUGAGAUAUUUUUCCUCGAUGUGAUUAGCUUAGGCGUUUUUGAAUUAUUAUUAUUUUCUUCUGAUUGAGAUGUUUUUCCUUCAUGUGAUUAGCCAUGUCCUCUGGCAGUACGUCCUGUUCUCCACCAACCUCUGCCCCGUCGGCCCAAUAUCGAACGAAGCAUGUCCUUCUCUCCCAAUGAUGGUUUCGCUUUGAUCUUUAAACACGUCAUAGGAUAGCGGCCCCAUUGCUCCUGGCCAUGCUUCUUCCCGCCUCCGAUCGUGAGCGGUUCAAGGGCGUGCUCACUAUAGCAUCACCUGAUUAUCAAUGAUCAUUAACUAUCACACAUUUGAAGUCACAAAGAGAAACCUGUUUCCAAUGCAAGAGAAGGCACGCACCAACCAAUGAAAGUUCAACAUGUAACCGCCUAGCAAAAUAAAUUCACAAGACAGACUAAGAUCCUAGCAAAAUAAAUUCACAAGACAGAUUAAGAUCCUGGCAAAGAUAUGCACCAAUUUGCAAAAGAUCUAUACAAGUUCAUCACAGGCAGGAAGCCGCGCUAUCAUAAAUAAAUGAAAUGUGUUUAGUCUUAUUAAGAAAGUGUCGAUGUGUAUUUUGGACUUUGUAAGAUGUAGCACUCAUGCUAAUAAUUAGUGUAUUGUCCUCAAUUUGCUUUUAUCAUGUCUUGCCUUUUUUUCCAUUACAAACUUAUGAAUUUGCUUUUAUGCAUGUUUUGCCUUUUUCAUACUAACAUAUGGACCUAAAGAUUUUCAUUUUAAGUUUAAGUUUAUAAAACAAGACAAAAGCAACAUAUAUACAAAACUUUACAUUAAUACAUAUGCAUGUUGAUGAUAAAUAUGUCAUUUCUAGCUUCUUUUAUGAUUGUAACCUCAACUAUCUAGCUCUCUUGCUUUAAAUUGAGUUUAACUGUAAAAAUAAAAGUAACAUAUAUAAACACAACGUAUCGACGAGGCGCGGCGUGGCGCCGCGCGGGUACAUGCUAAUAUAUAUCUAAUCCUGGUUCUUUUGUCCGACUUUGGAAGUGAAGAUAGAAGUCUCAUUGUUUUCUUUAUUGUGACAUAGGGAAGUUUUGGAUGGGAAGGAUGAACAACCAGAUGUUGUCGUGGUGAAGGCCGAGGCCAUGAUGAUGGAUGGGAGCAUUUCGUAGUCGUCAAGUUUUGUUACCUGUCUUGGUUGUUUCAGAAUUGAUAGUUGUGUUGGCAGGGA